rnacentral:rRNA from 1 species
GACGAACGCUGGCGGCGUGCUUAACACAUGCAAGUCGAACGGAAAGGCCCUGCUUUUGUGGGGUGCUCGAGUGGCGAACGGGUGAGUAACACGUGAGUAACCUGCCCUUGACUUUGGGAUAACUUCAGGAAACUGGGGCUAAUGCCGGAUAGGAGCUCCUGCUGCAUGGUGGGGGUUGGAAAGUUUCGGCGGUUGGGGAUGGACUCGCGGCUUAUCAGCUUGUUGGUGGGGUAGUGGCUUACCAAGGCUUUGACGGGUAGCCGGCCUGAGAGGGUGACCGGCCACAUUGGGACUGAGAUACGGCCCAGACUCCUACGGGAGGCAGCAGUGGGGAAUAUUGCACAAUGGGCGGGAGCCUGAUGCAGCAACGCCGCGUGCGGGAUGACGGCCUUCGGGUUGUAAACCGCUUUCGCCUGUGACGAAGCGUGAGUGACGGUAAUGGGUAAAGAAGCACCGGCUAACUACGUG